rnacentral:rRNA from 1 species
UACGUAGGGGGCAAGCGUUGUCCGGAAUCAUUGGGCGUAAAGAGCGUGUAGGCGGCCAGAAAAGUCCGCUGUGAAAACUCGAGGCUCAACUUCGAGCUGUCGGUGGAAACUUUCUGGCUAGAGUUUGGAAGAGGAGAAUGGAAUUCCUGGUGUAGUGGUGAAAUGCGCAGAUAUCAGGAAGAACACCAGUGGCGAAGGCGGCUUCCUGGCCUGUUCUGACGCUCAGGCGCGAAAGCUAGGGGAGCAAACAGG